AAAACUUUUCUAUUCAUGUUAUAACUGAAUUAAUAUUCAUAACUCGUGGUUCUUCCUGCGCACAAAUAAAUUAGAAGCUAUGCGAUUGAGAGGGUGGAGAUAUAAUGUCUUUGUUGGAGGUUUUGUUGGACUUAUAGGUGUAUACUGUUACGCUACCAUGAUCCGACCUAUGAUAAAUCCUGAGCCAUAUAAGAGAGCUAGAGAACAAUCUUUCAGAUAAAUGGACACAAGUUAUUCUAUGAAAUUUACUUGAAGGUUCCUAUAGAAUUAGCAUGUAUAAUAGAUUGUACAUUGUAAAAUUUUUUUUGGUAUCUUCAGAUAAAGGAUAGGUGACAAAUAAAAAUAUAAUUACAUGA